AUUGAACGCUGGCGGAAUGCUUUACACAUGCAAGUCGAACGGUAGAGGGGGCAACCCCUCGAGAGUGGCGAACGGGUGAGUAAUAUAUCGGAACGUGCCCAGUCGUGGGGGAUAACGUAGCGAAAGUUACGCUAAUACCGCAUACGAUCUAAGGAUGAAAGCGGGGGAUCGCAAGACCUCGCGCGAUUGGAGCGGCCGAUAUCAGAUUAGGUAGUUGGUGGGGUAAAGGCUCACCAAGCCAACGAUCUGUAGCUGGUCUGAGAGGACGACCAGCCAGCAUGGAAAUGAGACACGGUCCAGACUCCUACGGGAGGCAGCAGUGGGGAAUUUUGGACAAUGGACGCAAGUCUGAUCCAGCCAUUCCGCGUGCAGGAUGAAGGCCCUCGGGUUGUAAACUGCUUUUGUACGGAACGAAAAGGUCUCUCUUAAUACGGGGGGCUCAUGACGGUACCGUAAGAAUAAGCACCGGCUAACUACGUGCCAGCCGCCGCCGUAA
rnacentral:rRNA from 1 species